AGGUGAACAAACAGAAACUCUUCAGUACACCCUACACACCUUUGUCACAGCUGUAACAACUACAACACCCAGCAGUGUCUGGCUCUGCACAGACUCAGGUACAGCCUGGAGAUGAUGUCCGUCAGAAAGCAGAAUGUAUGGACGAAGGGGGAGAGCAGAGAGGAGCUCACUGAGGAACCUGCAGUCCAAGUACAUCGUUAGGACCACGAUAAUGAAUCAGUCAAAAGGGGUCGACACUGGGUUGCUGUAUCCUCUUUACCCUCUCAAUCUGGACCCCUGGACCCAGAUUCUGUUGUCUUAGUUUCCCAGCAAGGCUUUCAAAUACAGUUUACAACAACCUGCAAAAGACCCAAGUUUACAACCCGGAAAUGUCCUUGCUAUGAAACUUUAUCUAAAUCUAUGAAUGUGUACCAGUACAGAUAAGAGUCCUUCAGUGACUCCUAAAUGUCACAUCUAAGUCCGGGAAUCUCCUGGAUAUGUGGGGUUGUCCCUGAGAGAGAGUGUUGAUCCAGCACUCUACAGCCGCCCAAUCACAGAUAGCUGACUGAAACUUGAUUGGCUCAUCUGCAGGGUUAUUUAGGACAAGCAUUGAAAGCAUCCAUUUACUUUUCCUCCAUCUCUGUCUUCUUAGCUGUAUGUAAAUGUAAACUGACCGUGCUGAUGUGUGCAUGUUUUUGUCUUCAGGUCAUAUCAGUAAAAGUUUAGGUUUGGAAAAGUAUGAGUAUAUCCUUGAUUGCUGUCUUUAAAAAGCAACUUAGGUAACACAACUUGGAUGAGUAUUUAGAUUAGCUAAAUGCCAAUGUAAACACACCUCACUGCUGCAGCUAACGCAAACAGACAAAACCAAGGCUACAGGCUAAAACACACCUGCUGAAGUUGAAUAAUUUAAUCAGCUACUUGGCAAAAGCAUCUGUAUCACAUGAUCAUCCUCAGCAGAUGGAGUUUGCUCAGCUGUCAAUGAAGAUAUUCAAGCUUAAAAUUUUCUGAGCACGUUCAAGACUACAGAGAUACCAAGUGGGGUUGUUUACUUUCUUCAUUAUUGCACUUAUUGCAUUGUUUGGAAAAAGGGUUACAUGAGGGUACAGGGUUGGACAUGAAAAACAGAAAUAAACCAAAGCGACCACA